CCAUGUCGCCCCACAGUACAUCCAACCUCCAUCCAAUCCCUCUCCCAAUACAGUAAACCCCAUGUCCCCCCACAGUACAUCCAACCUCCACAGUACGAACCCUGGUGUUCCGAUCCAAUUGCUGAACGAGAUGAGGAGAGUUGGUGUGUUGUUCUUCGAGGAGUGUCCAAUGGUUGAGACGCUCAGGUACUCUUACGAUUCCAAUUCGCUUGCUUCUUAAGGCUAUGGAAGCCUUAUGUUGGUUUGCCGAAGCAACUGAUUCCUAAGAGAAACAGAGCUCCAGCAUUUGUCCUCUCUCUCUCUCUCUCUCCACUUUGUUUGCGACGCCUGUUUUGACCUUGCGUUUCGUAGCUUCACUCAAUUUCUUUGUUUAGAAGGAGGUUAACACUACAGCAAUUUAUUUGGUUGAAGUGGUUUGAUUUCUAUAAAAUUAUGGGUUUGAUCACCAAAAUGGGUUCAAUUUAGGGUUUAUGGGUUUGACAGAGAAAAAAUUUUGAUGUCAAAAAUCAAAAUCAAUGAAAUGUGAUAGUGAGAAACUUUGGAUUUGGAGUGGGAAUCACAAUUGGGAUCGUGGUUGGGUAUUAUCUGUUUAUCUAUUUCCAACCAAGUGAUGUCAAGCCACAUGUGGACUUUGGUUUGAAAGUGCUUGGAGCAGAUGCUAUGUCCAUUCCUGGCCUGUAUAGGUUUGUUCAGGCAUGUUAAAUUAAUUAAUAUAGUUCCCUUCACUUCAAUGUCUCUUUAUUUUUAGAUUUUUAUUUGAUUCUUCAUCCAGAGGGUGGGGGUGCUUAGGCACAUCUUCAUUGCAUAAAUUUUGAAAACAUGCAACAACCACAACAAAAAAUUGGUGGAAGAUGGUUUAGCUAAUGUGAAUUAGCUAAACUUGUGAUAUACUAAUGUAAACAUUGUAAUCAUAUAUUGGGAACUAAACUGGGUGUAGUUUUUAAUUUUGGUUUCACAACUAGUUGUAUUUUUUUUCAUUUAGGAGCUUAUCAAAGAUCAAGUUGCUAAUACGUAUCUCUGGCCCAAAACCCUUGAGGUACAAAUUAUGGAUCCUACAAAGUAAGUGUAUGUUUGAUCUAUAUAAUUUUACUUUGGCCCUCUCAAAAAUCACAAAAACCUCAUUAGCCUAUGUAGUUUUGAGUAUUUAUAAAAGAAUUAGUAGUUUGGAAAAACUAUGAAGUUCAUCAGAAUUAGCAGUUAAACUAUCCAAAAUAAAGUUGAUGCUGAUUAGUGAUUUGAAAAUGUUAGAAAUCCUUGUGUUGGUAACAAGUCACGAUCACAUUGAUGCUUUACUGAAUUCUUUUAAAGCACUAGAUUUUAACAGGGUUUUAACUAAUGUCUAUUGGCUGAUUGUGUGUCUUUACAGCCUAUAAAGAAAAACAGAGAUCCAGUUGAACAGAAUACCUAAAUGCACUUUUACACCGGUACACUUUGCGUUAUUUAGGUUGCUAAUAUUUCAAUAAUGUUAAUUUCAUUUUCAAAAUAUUAUGAUUGUAGGGAUGAAACUACAACUUAGCCGAAAAAGAAGAAAAAAAAAUCCUCUUAUAGAUCUAAUAACUUUUUUUUGGCAAAGAAAUUAUGUUCAAAUGUUAUAUAGAACUAAUGGGUGUAAUUUUUGUUUGUAGAUGGAUUUUGGCAUAGACAUGUAGAUCUUCCAUUUUUGUGUACAGAGGAUAAUUUAGACUUUUGAAUAAUUCCCUGUUACUUUUGAAUAAUUCCCUGUUUUUGUCGUCCUCUGCUUUUUGUGUGGAAUUUGGAUGAAUCGUACAUAUAACUUUUGGUGGGGUACUGAAUACUUUUGACAUCUAACAAAUAUUUAUUGUUGUGGUAUAUAGAUUAUAUUUUGUAGUGGUACAAAUUACCAUGCCAAAUGGCCAUUUCGCGUAGUAGUAAAUAUAUUUGUGUAUGGAGGACAAUGUUUUUGUAUGCUUACUUGUUAUGUAUGAAAUUAUUAUUUCCAAUUGGAAUAUUUACUUUAGUUUGUAUAGAAUGACAUUAUAAAUUACUCUUUUUGUUGG